GGAUGAACGCUGGCGGCGUGCCUAAUACAUGCAAGUCGAGCGAACGGACGAGAAGCUUGCUUCUCUGAUGUUAGCGGCGGACGGGUGAGUAACACGUGGAUAACCUACCUAUAAGACUGGGAUAACUUCGGGAAACCGGAGCUAAUACCGGAUAAUAUUUUGAACCGCAUGGUUCAAAAGUGAAAGGCGGUCUUGCUGUCACUUAUAGAUGGAUCCGCGCUGCAUUAGCUAGUUGGUAAGGUAACGGCUUACCAAGGCAACGAUGCAUAGCCGACCUGAGAGGGUGAUCGGCCACACUGGAACUGAGACACGGUCCAGACUCCUACGGGAGGCAGCAGUAGGGAAUCUUCCGCAAUGGGCGAAAGCCUGACGGAGCAACGCCGCGUGAGUGAUGAAGGUCUUCGGAUCGUAAAACUCUGUUAUUAGGGAAGAACAUAUGUGUAAGUAACUGUGCACAUCUUGACGGUACCUAAUCAGAAAGCCACGGCUAACUACGUG
rnacentral:rRNA from 1 species